GCUGGAUGUGGUGGAGCACACCUGUAAUCCCAGUUGCUUGGGAGGCUGACGCAGGAGGAUCACAAGUUUGAGGCCAGCCUCAGCAACUUAGCAAACCCUGUCUU
rnacentral:sRNA from 1 species